GACAUAGGUCGCAAACGUUAUCCGGAUUUAUUGGGCGUAAAGAGCUCGUAGGUGGUUCGGUAAGUCGGGUGUGAAAACUCUGGGCUCAACUCAGAGACGCCACCCGAUACUGCUGUGACUUGAGUCUGGUAGGGGAGUGUGGAAUUCCCAGUGUAGCGGUGAAAUGCGCAGAUAUUGGGAGGAACACCAGUGGCGAAGGCGGCACUCUGGGCCAGUACUGACACUGAGGAGCGAAAGCGUGGGUAGCGAACAGG
rnacentral:rRNA from 1 species